AAAAUUGCUGUUAAUUUACGGCAAAAUUUUAACAGUAUAAUCCUGUUAUUGUCAAAAGCAGUAUGUUGCUGUUUUUUUACGGUUUUUGAAAUGACGUAGACGAAAUUUAACAUUAUUUUACUGUUUUUAUCACACCAAUGUAAAAAAACAGCAAUCAACAGUAUUUUUUGAACAGAAGACGUCAGCCAUUACAUGUGGAUUUUCAUGCUUCUUUUAACUUUGACUUACUCGGUGAGUGCACCUUUAUUUAGCUAAUUUUACACAAAAUACACAUUUGUGAUUGCACAUAGGCUAACUGGAUGCUGAUAUUGUAACUUUUUUACAUCUAUUUUAGUUCUAAAUCAGUGUCAAUGUGCAAACUGCAUCUGCAUUGAGUGGAACUGGAUUUCUGACACAGAUAUUUCCUGAUUACAUGUAUGUCCUUUUCAGCGCUGAACCUGUGAACAUGUGAACAUGCUAACUGCAUCAUAGAGUGGAGCUGGAUUUCUGAUACAGAUAUUGAUUUCUGAUUACAAGGCAUCUUCUACUGUACCUGAUGUAGAAAAGACCCUUGAACUACCUGCAAUUCCUUGACUGAUACUUUUUGG